GGAAUCUUGCACAAUGGAGGAAACUCUGAUGCAGCGAUGCCGCGUGAGUGAAGAAGGCCUUUGGGUUGUAAAGCUCUUUUGUAGGGGAAGAUAAUGACUGUACCCUAAGAAUAAGGUCCGGCUAACUUCGCGCCAGCAGCCGCGGUAAUACGAAGGGACCUAGCGUAGUUCGGAAUUACUGGGCGUAAAGCGCGCGUAGGCCGUUGAGUUAGUUAAUUGUGAAAUCCCAAAGCUUAACUUUGGAACUGCAAUUAAAACUGCUCGACUAGAGUUUGAUAGAGGAAAGCGGAAUACAUAGUGUAGAGGUGAAAUUCGUAGAUAUUAUGUAGAACACCAGUUGCGAAGGCGGCUUUCUGGAUCAACACUGACGCUGAGGCGCGAAAGUAUGGGUAGCAAAGAGGAAUAGAUACCCUCGUAGUCCAUACCAUAAACGAUGAUUGCUAGAUGUUGGAAAUUUAUUUUCAGUAUCGCAGCUAACGCAUUAAGCAAUCCGCCUGGGGAGUACGACCGCAAGGUUAAAACUCAAAGGAAUUGACGG
rnacentral:rRNA from 1 species